rnacentral:rRNA from 1 species
GAUGAACGCUGACAGAAUGCUUAACACAUGCAAGUCAACUUGAACUUCGGUUUGGGUGGCGGACGGGUGAGUAACGCGUAAAGAACUUGCCUCACAGCUAGGGACAACAUUUGGAAACGAAUGCUAAUACCUGAUAUUAUGAUUUUAGGGCAUCCUAGAAUUAUGAAAGCUAUAUGCGCUGUGAGAGAGCUUUGCGUCCCAUUAGCUAGUUGGAGAGGUAACGGCUCACCAAGGCGAUGAUGGAUAGCCGGCCUGAGAGGGUGAACGGCCACAAGGGGACUGAGACACGGCCCUUACUCCUACGGGAGGCAGCAGUGGGGAAUAUUGGACAAUGGACCAAGAGUCUGAUCCAGCAAUUCUGUGUGCACGAUGAAGUUUUUCGGAAUGUAAAGUGCUUUCAGUUGGGAAGAAAAAAAUGACGGUACCAACAGAAGAAGUGACGGCUAAAUACGUG